UACGUAGGGGGCUAGCGUUGUCCGGAAUCAUUGGGCGUAAAGCGCGCGUAGGUGGCCCCAUAAGUCCGCUGUGAAAGUCAAAGGCUCAACCUUUGAAAGCCGGUGGAUACUGUGGGACUAGAGUACGGAAGAGGCGAGUGGAAUUCCUGGUGUAGCGGUGGAAUGCGCAGAUAUCAGGAGGAACACCAAUAGCGAAGGCAGCUUUCUGGGACGGUACUGACGCUGAGACGCGAAAGCGUGGGGAGCGAACAGG
rnacentral:rRNA from 1 species